GGCACUGGGUGCACCGGCAUAGGCGGUCGCGGUCCAUGGCGGCGCGGUCGCAUGAACGGGCUGCAUAAAGAUAGGCACAGGCGCUCGCCACGCAGACGCUCGAUACAUUGUCCCUCACCCACAGGAGGGGCGCUUUGGCAAGGAACCGGCCGGCGGCUGCGUCGAUGGCCUCCUGGAGGUGGUCGAUGCCGUAGCGCUCGCACAAAAAUUGGAUCACGCCCUCGUUGCGACAAAAGAGGGCCGAUGUCAAUAUGCAGGGAGUGCACACGGCGACAUGCUCUGCGAUGGCGGCCACGGUCGCAACAGAGUUGCUGCGUACCGCUGUGCACAGCGGGUCCCACUGGUCAAAGGGCGCGAUCCCGACUUUGUCUAGAGCGAGAACCACGGCGACGUGGCCUCUCUUCAAGGCGGCUCUGGCUGCACCCACGGAUAGGUUGCGGCGCGCGUCGGGCCUGUGCGCCAGCCAGCGCACAAUGUGCUCGUGACCCCCUAGGGCCGCCGCGUACCCUAUGAGCAACGAUGGCCACCCUUGGACGACCACGGCAGGCGGUUGACUAGGUGACGGGCCGGCGUCGGCCAGAUCCAUGUGCGCGUCGCCAUCUUUGCCAUUGUCGUCGUCCACGUCGUCACAGGCGUCGGCCAUGGUCGCCCACUGAAGGACAUGGAGAUGCCCGCCACGCGCGGCGGCCAUCAGCGCGUCAAGCGGGAGAGGGUCGAAUCCGAGGCGGCACAACAUAGCCAACACGCGCACGUGGCCAUUCGAGGCAGCACGAACAGCGGCUUUCGUUAUUUCGGCCAUGUCAUAGCGAUCGUGCAGCGCCGCUGGUGGCGUUGUCUGUGGGGCCGUGUUGGCAUACACCCAACGGGCAGCCGCCGCCGACCCCGCGCGCACGGCGCACACAAAAGAAUGGGUCGCAUGCGAUAAAUUGUCGGGCGAGAGGCACUGACAGCCGCGCGUGCGCACCCAUUCGAGCACAUCGGCGCGGUCGGCGUCCAGCGCCGCGCGCUCGACUUGUGUCGUGCACACGGUUCCGUCGUCAUUCGGCAGUAGCGAGUAAUCAUGCAGGCGGAUGAUGACGUCCAACGGGGCGCCGGGUGCGCGCACGACCUUGAUGAGAAGUGAUCGAACAAACGAUGCGUCGAGACGGCAAUACAAACUCGAUGGCCCUGUGUUGCAGUGCGACAAGAGCCAGGCAAGCAUCUCAAACCGGCCGCAUUCGAUCGACAGACAGAGGGCAUCGUCGACGGGAUCGCCCUUUUUGGUCCUUUUAUACGGUCUCGGUGCCGGGCCGGCGUCAUCGCGGUGCGCCGCUGCUCUGAGGACGAGCGUCCAUUCGGGCACGGCGCAUGCCCAUUCCACUAUGUCGAUGGAGCCGACGCGGACUACCGCAACAAUCCAGUCGGGCGGUAUGGACGCGGGACCGCGAUGGGCAUAGACGGCGCGUACGACGUCGAGAGGCGCACCCGCCUCCAAGAGGUUGCCCAAAGUCACGCUGGCGAGGCGGGCGGCAGCGCUUGCAAGAGGCUCGACGGCCAGUAUCGACGAGGCCGCUGCGCAGGCCGCAAGAUCGCGCAGGCGCGUCAAGUAGCCCAGAAUGUGGACGAUGAUUUCGUCGGGCAAAUUGCCCAGGCCCACGGUCGAUGCCAUUGCUCUCGGUGGUUUCUUCUUCUUUUUUUAAUUCUUCUUCUGUUCCUCGUCUGCUUCUCACCAAAAAAAAGACCUGUCCAAGGCGACCCGGCAAUGCACGCGAUUUACAGCCCGACCAACCCGUUUUCUAUUCUUUGUGUUUUUUGCGAAAAAAGGAAUGUUUGCA
rnacentral:lncRNA from 1 species